CGGACGGUAGCUCAGCAAGGCAGAGCAGCGGCGCAGGCCGCAGGUCGCCGGUUCGAUUCCGGUUCGUCCCACCA
rnacentral:tRNA from 1 species